rnacentral:lncRNA from 1 species
GACCACUGAUAACCAACCACCUACCCAUCCACAUUAUCCGGCUACCACCAGCCAAACACCCCUUCCCGCAUCCGAUUUCCGGCGCCCCCCAGUUGUAAGCUUCGAUUUGAUGUUGUGGUGGUGGUGGCGGUUCGACGGCUGGGUGGUGGUCAGCGGUGGUUGGUCGGCGACGGUGGUUAUACGGUUACGGUGGUGGUUGGUCGGCAGCGGUGGUUCUAACAGUGGGUAGUGGCUGGUAUUUUUGAUAUGUGUUCUUGAAUGAAAGAUGAUGACACCGAUUGUAUUUUUGGUAAGUGAUUUUUUGAAGGGUGUUUCUCUCUCUAGUAAGAUAUGUGGGUUUGUUCUUGUUUGAUUUUUGAUCAGUGAUUUUUUGCCUGAUGAACUAUGUGGGGUUUGAACUAUGAUUAUGUGUUCUUGAUGUUUCUGGUGAUUUUUGAUGUUUGCGGGGUUGAUCUGGGUUGAUUUCGAUUUUUGAUGUUUGGGGGGGGGUGGUUGAUCUCAGUUGAUACAGGUUUGAAUCUGGUUUGAAUAUGUUUGAAUGAUGGACUGGGUGGCGAUGAUG